rnacentral:snRNA from 1 species
AUACUUACCUGCCAGGGGAGAACCCAUGAUCAUAAAGGAAGUUUUUCCACAUCAAGCCCUAUCCAUUGCACUCUGGAUGUGUUGACCCCUGUGAUUUCCCAAAUGCAAGAAAUUAAACUACAUGUCUUUUGAUAGUGGGCGAUUGUGUUGUCACUUUCCUUGU